rnacentral:rRNA from 1 species
UCCUGGCUCAGAACGAACGCUGGCGGCGUGGAUAAGACAUGCAAGUCGAACGACAGAAGGGCCAGCUUGCUAAUAAUUCUCUAGUGGCGCACGGGUGAGUAACACAUGAGUAACCUGCCCCCGAGAGCGGGAUAGCCCUGGGAAACUGGGAUUCUUACCGCAUAGUAUCGAAAGAUUGAAGCACCAAUGCGCUUGGGGAUGGGCUCGCGGCCUAUUAGUUAGUUGGUGAGGUAACGGCUCACCAAGGCGAUGACGGGUAGCCGGUCUGAGAGGAUGUCCGGGCCACCACUGGAACUGAGACACGGUCCAGACACCUACGGGUGGCAGCAGUCGAGAAUCAUUCACAAUGGGGGAUACCCUGAUGGUGCGACGCCGCGUGGGGGAAUGAAGGUCUUCGGAUUGUAAACCCCUGUCAUGUGGGAGCAAAUUAAAAAGAUAGUACCACAAGAGGAAGACGAUCGGCUAACUCUGUGCCAGCAGCCGCGGUAAUACAGAGGUAUCAAGCGUUGUUCGGAAUCUCUGGGCGUAAAGCGUGCGUAGGCUGUUUCGUAAGUCGUGUGUGAAAGGCGCGGGCUCAACCCGCGGACGGCACAUGAUACUGCGUGACUAGAGUAAUGGAGGGGGAACCGGAAUUCUCGGUGUAGCAGUGAAAUGCGUAGAUAUCGAGAGGAACACUCGUGGCGAAGGCGGGUUCCUGGACAUCUAACUGACGCUGAGGCACGAAGGCCAGGGGAGCGAACGGGAUUAGAUACCCCUGUAGUCCUGGCAGUAAACGGUGCACGCUUGGUGUGCGGGGAAUCGACCCCCUGGGUGCCGGAGCUAACGCGUUAAGCGUUCCGCCUGGGGAGUACGGUCGCAAGAUUAAAACUCAAAGAAAUUGACGGGGACCCGCACAAGCGGUGGAGUAUGUGGCUUAAUUCGAUGCAACGCGAAGAACCUUACCUGGGCUUGACAUGUAAUGAACAACAUGUGAAAGCAUGCGACUCUUCGGAGGCGUUACACAGGUGCUGCAUGGCCGUCGUCAGCUCGUGUCGUGAGAUGUUAGGUUAAGUCCAGCAACGAGCGCAACCCCUGUUGCCAGUUACCAGCACGUGAAGGUGGGGACUCUGGCGAGACUGCCCAGAUCAACUGGGAGGAAGGUGGGGACGACGUCAGGUCAGUAUGGCCCUUAUGCCCAGGGCUGCACACGUACUACAAUGCCCAGUACAGAGGGGGCCGAAGCCGCGAGGCGGAGGAAAUCCUAAAAGCUGGGCCCAGUUCGGACUGUAGGCUGCAACCCGCCUACACGAAGCCGGAAUCGCUAGUAAUGGCGCAUCAGCUACGGCGCCGUGAAUACGAUCCCGGGUCUUGUACACACCGCCCGUCA